AUAUUACUCUACUAACCACAAGAAUAUAUUCUCCCGCUGUAAUCAUACCUAGCCUAAAUUCAUUUGGAGUACAAUGGCAAAUCACAUGUACACAGACAACCAGAAGAUAUCUUUGAAUAAAUUUCAGAUGUCAUCAUGAAAUAUAUUACACCAGAGGAAAGCAUCAUUUUAACGUUCUAUCAGCCUCCGUUGAUUU